rnacentral:lncRNA from 1 species
GGAGUGGGUGGAUGCCAGUGUUUCAGGGAGCCUCCGUGUCUAUGUUACCAUUCCAUCUCUUUGCCUUCCUCAGAGUUACUGACUGCCCACCUGUCUGACCCGAUGCCAAUGGAUGUUGGACCCUCAGGCUCUCGCGUCACCUGUCCGGCCAGACUGAUGGAAGUUUCUGAAGUCAGCUCUUCUCCAUCACCCACUACAGAUCAGCUCAUCAUCAUCCAUCUUACUCUCUAAGCCAUUAGUGGAGCUAAUUUAAAAGCCGUUUGACCAGUGCGGAUUUGCAUGAAAAGAAUCCUGACAGCACAUUGGUGCCUCUCUGGCAAUGGUGCAGCGAAGGCAAAAACCUGACUCAGGCCCAGCAAGAAGCACGGAAAGCAUUUUACAUAACGAAGUUGGCAGGAUUCGGGUGUUUGCUUGCUAUCUUCCUCAUAAUACUGAUUGUGAUGAUUUACACAUGCCUUAAACCAAAGACUCCAAAUGAACAGGUGACACACAGUGGUGUUGGUGAAGGAGAUACAGGAGUGGCUGGGGGAAGUAGAGCAGGAGAGGCUAAAGGAGAUGGAGGAGCAGAGGCUGGAGGAUCACAGAUCCGCUGUUGCUCAGUCUAUGGCAAAACCUGUGGCGCGUCUCACUGCAAAGAUUGCUGCUCAAAGCACAGAAAAGCCUGCUGCCUAGAACACAGAGACCUUCCCUGUUUAGCUCAUUCAGACACAAAUGCAACCCAAAAAACUGACCACAGUGAUUCUACUGUUUCCCAUCUUGAAUCACAAAGUCAACCCACUUCUGAAAGUCUUUGUGUCAGAAUCAAAGGCUGCCCCUGUCUCUGUCACCAAACUUGUGACAAGAGCUGGCUAAAAUCCUUAAUAACACUAUUCCCGUUUUUUUUUUUUUUUUUUUUUUUUUUUUUUUAUUACAUCUACUUCACGCCAAGCUGAUUCCACUUCUGGAAAGAUUGUAGCUGUCACAUGCUUUGCAUCUUCACUUUCCUCUUCUGUCACUGAUUCAUAUUCUUUCAUUUGUAUUGUCCUCUCUAUUUGUAUGAAGGUCCAGAUCAGUUGAUGAGUUUAUUCACUCUUGUUGUUUGUUUUUUUUGUUUUUUACUGUUUUUCACUUUGGCUCACACUUAAGACUUAAACGAACCUUAAUCAGUUAUAAAUAAAACUUUAUGUACUUGAUUUAACCUACUCCA